CACGUAGUUAGCCGGCGCUUCUUCUGCAGGUACCGUCACUUUCGCUUCUUCCCUGCUGAAAGGGGUUUACAACCCGAAGGCCGUCAUCCCCCACGCGGCGUCGCUGCAUCAGGCUUUCGCCCAUUGUGCAAUAUUCCCCACUGCUGCCUCCCGUAGGAGUCUGGGCCGUGUCUCAGUCCCAGUGUGGCCGGUCGCCCUCUCAGGCCGGCUACCCGUCAUCGCCUUGGUGAGCCAUCACCUCACCAACAAACUGAUAGGCCGCGAGUCCAUCCCCCACCGAAAACUUUCCAGCCCCCACCAUGCGGUGAAGGCUCCUAUCCGGUAUUAGCUCCGAUUUCUCGGGGUUAUCCCAGAGUGGAGGGCAGGUUACUCACGUGUUACUCACCCGUUCGCCACUAAUCAGACCGUGCAAGCACGGCCGCCAUCGUUCGACUUGCAUGUGUUAAGCACGCCGCCAGCGUUCGUCCUGAGCCAGGAUCAAACUCU
rnacentral:rRNA from 1 species